rfam:TPA: Bos taurus chromosome 25, whole genome shotgun sequence.
UCCUCUGUGGCUCAGAUGGUAAAGAAUUUGCCUUCAAUGUAAGAGACCCAGGUUCGAUCCCUGGGUCGGGAA